rnacentral:rRNA from 1 species
AUAUGAGGUCUGGCCUGCCCACUGAAUAGGGAUGUUUAAAGGGCCGCGGUAUACUAACCGUGCGAAGGUAGCAUAGUCAAUAGUCUCUUAAUUGGAGGCUUGAAUGAACGGUCGGACAUGAAGAAAACUGUCUUAACUUAUAAUUGCGAAUUUAACUUUGGUGUGAAAAGGCAUUAAUGGGUUAGGGGGACGAUAAGACCCUAUAAAACUUGAUGUUUAGUUUGUUUGGUCUUCUAUUUAGGGGUCAAAGUAGGUUUAACAAGGUACAUUGUGCUGGGGCGGCAGGAAUAAAAUUUGUAACUGUUUUUAAUAUGGGAAUAAUUAUAAUUAGAUAUUGACCCUGAAUUUUGGGUUAAAAGUUUAAGUUACUUUAGGGAUAACAGCGUUAUUUCUCUUGAGAGUUCAUAUCGACAGAGAUAUUUGCGACCUCGAUGUUGAAUUAAAGCUUUCCCUGGGAGUAGAAAUUCAGGUGAUAGGUCUGUUCGACCUUUAAAGUUUUACAUGAUUUGAGUUCAAACCGGUGUGAGCCAGGUUG